GGCGUCCGCAAACGGGAUGUGGACGCAAGACACAGCACUUAACUGAAGUCCCGGGGGAACUGUGUCGGCUCGCCCCCUUCUGGCCAAAUCAGAGGGAAGGCAUGUUAGUCAGAGAACCAACAGCUGGACCCGGGCACGUGGUGCCUGGAACUCUGCACCAGAUCAUCUCUCUCGCUUUGUCCCUUCAGAGAAGAUGGCUGCCACAGCUCUACUUUUGCUCCCUGGCUAAGUUGACAAGAGGUUCAAAGAAAGAAGAAAACUUACAAUUAAAUCAUCAGUUAAGACUCCGUGGUGGCCCCUACCCAGAUGGGACUUGACUCUAUCGUGCGCCUCACUCCGUUUCCUGAGCAACCCUGUCUGAUAAACCUGAUAUGGCUGAGAUUGAAAAAUUCAGCAAGUUGAAACGGAAGAAGACAGAAAUGCAAGAGAAAAAUCCACUGCCCUCAAAAGAAACGACUGAACAGAGAAGCCAGCAGGCAAAUCAUAAUAAGCGUGUACCUCCAGUGUGUGCUGUACAUUCCACAAGUAUUGCCUUCUUAUUUUACAUCUUUUAACUGUUUAACUUUGUGAGAUGCAAAGGGGUUGGAUCAAGUUUAAGUGGUUGUGCUGCCCCUUUUCACAUUAAAGAACGGAGAACUACUGACAAUCACGGCCGCGCCUGCCUCUCCCAUCUGACUGGCUGGCUGGCUGGGAAGGAAAAGAACAUGUAUGUUGGUGAAGGAAGAAGCUGGAUGGGACCACAAUGAAAUCUAGAGUAAAAACCAAGCUGGUCCAAGGUGUCCUGCAGGCUGUAAAGUGCAGUUUAAUCAGAGUAGCAUUUUUUUGUUCAAAUGAUUUUAAUUAUGGGAAUGAACCAUUUUUAAA